UACGUAGGCAGCAAGCGUUGUUCGGAGUUACUGGGCGUAAAGGGUGUGUAGGCGGUUAUUUAAGUUUGGUGUGAAAUCUCCCGGCUCAACCGGGAGGGUGCGCCGAAUACUGAAUGACUUGGAGUGCGGGAGAGGAAAGUGGAAUUCCUGGUGUAGCGGUGAAAUGCGUAGAUAUCAGGAGGAACACCAGUGGCGAAGGCGACUACCUGGCCUGUUCUUGACGCUGAGGCGCGAAAGCUAGGGGAGCAAACGGG
rnacentral:rRNA from 1 species